rnacentral:rRNA from 1 species
CGAACGCUGGCGGCGUGCUUAACACAUGCAAGUCGAACGGUGAAGCGCCUUCCUUUUUGGUGGGUGUGGAUGAGUGGCGAACGGGUGAGUAACACGUGAGUAACCUGCCCCCUUCUUCUGGAUAACCGCAUGAAAGUGUGGCUAAUACGGGAUAUUCUGGGUCUGUCGCAUGAUGGGUCUGGGAAAGAUAUUGUUUCGGUGGGGGAUGGGCUCGCGGCCUAUCAGCUUGUUGGUGGGGUGAUGGCCUACCAAGGCGGUGACGGGUAGCCGGCCUGGGAGGGUGGACGGUCACACUGGGACUGAGACACGGCCCAGACUGCUACGGGAGGCAGCAGUGGGGAAUAUUGCACAAUGGGCGCAAGCCUGAUGCAGCGACGCCGCGUGAGGGAUGGAGGCCUUCGGGUUGUGAACCUCUUUCGCCAGUGAAGCAGGCCUGCCUCGUUUGUGGGUGGGUUGACGGUAGCUGGAUAAGAAGCGCCGGCUAACUACGUG